AUCGUACUCCCUUCUUCUCAAAUUACUUAUUGUAGAAAUAGAUAUAUCUAAACAUAUUUUUAAUUUUAAAUAUAACCAUUUCUAUUCAUUUCAACAAUAAGUAAUUGGAGACGGGGGGAGUAUACU
rnacentral:pre_miRNA from 1 species